GGGGAAUAUUGCACAAUGGGCGAAAGCCUGAUGCAGCGACGCCGCGUGAGGGAUGACGGCCUUCGGGUUGUAAACCUCUUUCGCUCAUGGUCAAGCCGCAGCUUUGGGUUGUGGUGAGGGUAGUGGGUAAAGAAGCGCCGGCUAACUACGUGCCAGCAGCCGCGGUAAUACGUAGGGCGCGAGCGUUGUCCGGAAUUAUUGGGCGUAAAGGGCUUGUAGGCGGUUGGUCGCGUCUGCCGUGAAAUCCUCUGGCUUAACUGGGGGCGUGCGGUGGGUACGGGCUGACUUGAGUGCGGUAGGGGAGACUGGAACUCCUGGUGUAGCGGUGGAAUGCGCAGAUAUCAGGAAGAACACCGGUGGCGAAGGCGGGUCUCUGGGCCGUUACUGACGCUGAGGAGCGAAAGCGUGGGGAGCGAACAGGAUUAGAUACCCUGGUAGUCCACGCUGUAAACGUUGGGCACUAGGUGUGGGGGCCACCCGUGGUUUCUGCGCCGUAGCUAACGCUUUAAGUGCCCCGCCUGGGGAGUACGGCCGCAAGGCUA
rnacentral:rRNA from 1 species